rnacentral:rRNA from 1 species
GAAAUUUGACAAAGGGGGGAACCCCGAUCCAGCCAUCCCGGGGGUGUGAAGAAGGUCUUUGGGUUGUAAAGCACUUUAAGUUGGGGGGAAGGGCAGUAUGUUAAUACCUUGCUGUUUUGACGUUACCGACUGAAUAAGCACCGGGUAAAUUCGAGCCAGCAGCCGCGGUAAUAAGAAGGGUGCAAGCGUUAAUCGGAAUUACUGGGGGUAAAGCGGGAGUAGGUGGUUUGUUAAAUUGGAAGAGAAAGCCCCGGGCUCAACCUGGGAACUGCUUUCAAAACUGGCAAGCUAGAGUAUGGCAGAGGGUGGUGGAAUUUCCUGUGUAGCGGUGAAAUGCGUAGAUAUAGGAAGGAACACCAGUGGCGAAGGCGACUACCUGGACUGAUACUGACACUGAGGUGCGAAAGCGUGGGGAGCAA